rnacentral:rRNA from 1 species
GUGAAGCGGUAACAGCUCAAAUUUGAAAGCUAGCCCUCUUAGGGUUCGCAUUGUAAUUUGUAGAAGAUGCUUCGGGUGUGGCCCCGGUCUAAGUUCCUUGGAACAGGACGUCAUAGAGGGUGAGAAUCCCGUAUGUGACUGGGUGCUUUCGCUCAUGUGAAGCUCUUUCGACGAGUCGAGUUGUUUGGGAAUGCAGCUCAAAAUGGGUGGUAAAUUUCAUCUAAAGCUAAAUAUUGGCCAGAGACCGAUAGCGCACAAGUAGAGUGAUCGAAAGAUGAAAAGCACUUUGGAAAGAGAGUUAAACAGUACGUGAAAUUGUUGAAAGGGAAGCGCUUGCAACCAGACUUGCGCGCUGAUGAUCAUCCGGGCUUCUGUCCGGUGCACUCGUCUGCGCUCAGGCCAGCAUCGGUUUCAGUGGCGGGAUAAAGGCCUUGGGAAUGUAGCUCCUCUAGGGGAGUGUUAUAGCCCUCGGUGCAAUGCCGCCUACUGGGACCGAGGACCGCGCUUCGGCUAGGAUGCUGGCGUAAUGGUUGUAAGCGACCCGUCUUGAAACACGGACCAAGGAGUCUAACAUCUAUGCGAGUGUUUGGGUGUCAAACCCAUACGCGUAAUGAAAGUGAACGGAGGUGAGAACCCUUAAGGGUGCAUCAUCGACCGAUCCUGAUGUCUUCGGAUGGAUUUGAGUAAGAGCAUAGCUGUUGGGACCCGAAAGAUGGUGAACUAUGCGUGAAUAGGGUGAAGCCAGAGGAAACUCUGGUGGAGGCUCGCAGCGGUUCUGACGUGCAAAUCGAUCGUCAAAUUUGCGUAUAGGG